UACUUGCCUAAGAAUUUCAUAAAUU
rnacentral:piRNA from 1 species